rnacentral:piRNA from 1 species
UGAUGAGGUAUAUUAUUUUUCAGGAAGCU